rnacentral:rRNA from 1 species
AUGGCCGCCCCACUCCGGCGGGUCUUCCCCUCCCUCGGCCGGGCCCUGCUCUCGCCUACGCCGGCACGGAUGCUCUCCGCGGAGGCCUCCGAUGCCCUCGUGGAGAUCAAGCCCGGGGAGAUCGGCAUGGUCUCCGGGAUCCCCGAGGAGCACCUCCGCCGCAAGGUUCUGAUCUAUUCACCAGCUAGGACUGCAUCUCAGCAAGGUUCUGGCAAAGUCGGGAGGUGGAAAAUCAAUUUCGUGUCAACCCAAAAGUGGGAGAACCCAUUGAUGGGAUGGACAUCGACUGGUGAUCCGUAUGCUAAUGUUGGUGAAGCUGGACUUACGUUUGACAGUGCCGAAUCAGCGAAGGCAUUUGCUGAAAAACACGGAUGGGAAUAUGUGGUUAGGAAGCGCCAUACACCUCUUCUGAAGCCCAAAACGUACGCAGAGAACUUCAAGUGGAAGGGCCCCCCGAAGACGGAGGAAGCAGCCUAA